GAGUACUCGGCUUUUA
rnacentral:tRNA from 3 species